UCGCCGAUUUAUGGCGAUGACAACGCGUAUCAAAUAUGCGUAUCAGUUCGAGUUUGAUCAUUUGAUCAUCCCAAAGCCGUUGUUUCAGGGUUUGAUCUGUGACUGUUAACUGUGCCCUGACUUUGAUCAGAUAGAGCGGUUGUUUCAGCCUGUGAGUUAGUAUAGCCGUGCCCUGUGGACUGAUCAAAUUCAGCUUAUGCCAAGUCCAGGAGAAGGGUGUCGGGGAAGGGAGUAAAGGAGUGGAGGAGGAUGCCUUCGUACGUGAUCUACUCAUUCUAUUGUCCUGUUGACCCAGCUGCUCCAUGACUGACCAACGUGGAAUUUGCAAAAGAAACUGACUUUAUACCUUGAAAUUAAGCUCUUUUUGAAUAAAUAAAAUCACUAUCCUU